rnacentral:misc_RNA from 1 species
AAACUUCGGUAGUUAUGUGA